rnacentral:lncRNA from 1 species
UUUUGCUCACCAGGGAGAUGCGAAAGUUGAUGCUAAGCCUUGCAGGGUUCUGAUCGGCAUUCGGGGUAAUGAGUGCCUAUCGGGACGUCGCGACGAUUGUCACGGGCUCGAUAAGAGUUCCGGGUCAUGACAAGGGAUGCACAUGAGCUAGGUGAGGUGGUGGUGGUAUUGGUGGUUAUGUAUAUAUAUAUAUAUUUACGUAAUAUGAAGUUCAUGAAUAUGGUAUAUGGUUGUAAUGUAUGUGAAAUCUUGCAUGUUGAACCUUGGAAAUUGUUAAGUAUUUUUAAGUUGAUUUUGUCAUUGCAGCGAGAAACAUUUUGUUUCGCCUGCUACCAUGUUUGGUUCCUACCCCACUUUCCAUUUCUUUAGUACCAUAGUAUACCAUAGACUCUCAACAUUAAGGAAUUUAGUUAAUCAAGUUUGAAAUGAAGAGUUUUAAUAAGAACUAAACUAAAUUGCAUUGUUUUGAAAAUAAGUGCAUCAUGAUUUCUUUAAACUUUCCUUAUUGUUUGCUUGUUUCUCUUUUUUGUUCUCUCACUAGGUUUAUACUCACCGUUUUCAACUUCAUGAUUUCAUAUCAAGAGGCAAUUGG